UGGGGAAUUUUGGACAAUGGGGGCAACCCUGAUCCAGCAAUGCCGCGUGUGUGAAGAAGGCCUUCGGGUUGUAAAGCACUUUUGUCCGGGAAGAAAUCGCACCUGAUAAUACCGGGUGUGGAUGACGGUACCGGAAGAAUAAGGACCGGCUAACUACGUGCCAGCAGCCGCGGUAAUACGUAGGGUCCAAGCGUUAAUCGGAAUUACUGGGCGUAAAGCGUGCGCAGGCGGUUGUGCAAGACCGAUGUGAAAUCCCCGGGCUUAACCUGGGAAUUGGAUUGGUAACUGCACGGCUAGAGGGUGUCAGAGGGGGGUAGAAUUCCACGUGUAGCAGUGAAAUGCGUAGAGAUGUGGAGGAAUACCGAUGGCGAAGGCAGCCCCCUGGGAUAACACUGACGCUCAUGCACGAAAGCGUGGGGAGCAAACAGG
rnacentral:rRNA from 1 species